rnacentral:rRNA from 1 species
AGUGAACGCUGGCGGUAGGCCUAACACAUGCAAGUCGAACGGCAGCACAGUAAGAGCUUGCUCUUACGGGUGGCGAGUGGCGGACGGGUGAGGAAUACAUCGGAAUCUACUUUUUCGUGGGGGAUAACGUAGGGAAACUUACGCUAAUACCGCAUACGACCUACGGGUGAAAGCAGGGGAUCUUCGGACCUUGCGCGAUUGAAUGAGGCGAUGUCGGAUUAGCUAGUUGGCGGGGUAAAGGCCCACCAAGGCGACGAUCCGUAGCUGGUCUGAGAGGAUGAUCAGCCACACUGGAACUGAGACACGGUCCAGACUCCUACGGGAGGCAGCAGUGGGGAAUAUUGGACAAUGGGCGCAAGCCUGAUCCAGCCAUACCGCGCGGGUGAAGAAGGCCUUCGGGUUGUAAAGCCCUUUUGUUGGGAAAGAAAAGCAGCAGGUUAAUACCCCGCUGUUCUGACGGUACCCAAAGAAUAAGCACCGGCUAACUUCGUG